rnacentral:tRNA from 3 species
GCGCUCGUAGCUCAGCAGGAUAGAGCGGUAGGUUCCGGUCCUACGUCUGUCGGGGGUUCGAAUCCUCUCGAGCGCG